rnacentral:rRNA from 1 species
CCUACGGGAGGCAGCAGUGGGGGAUAUUGCACAAUGGGGGAAACUCUGAUGCAGCAACGCCGCGUGAGUGAAGAAGGAUUUCGGUAUGUAAAGCUCUAUCAGCAGGGAAGAAAAUGACGGUACCUGACUAAGAAGCCCCGGCUAACUACGUGCCAGCAGCCGCGGUAAUACGUAGGGGGCAAGCGUUAUCCGGAUUUACUGGGUGUAAAGGGAGCGUAGGCGGGGCAGCAAGUCUGAUGUGAAAUGUCGGGGCCCAACCCGGGGGCUGCAUUUGAAACUGUUGAACUGGAGUACAGGAGAGGUAAGCGGAAUUCCUAGUGUAGCGGUGAAAUGCGUAGAUAUUAGGAGGAACACCAGUGGCGAAGGCGGCUUACUGGACUGUAACUGACGCUGAGGCUCGAAAGCGUGGGGAGCAAACAGGAUUAGAUACCCUAGUAGUC